AUUGAACGCUGGCGGCAGGCUUAACACAUGCAAGUCGAGCGAGCGGCGGACGGGUGAGUAAUGUCUGGGAAACUGCCUGAUGGAGGGGGAUAACUACUGGAAACGGUAGCUAAUACCGCAUACCCUCAGAUGUGCCCAGAUGGGAGUAGCUAGUAGGUGGGGUAAUGGCUCACCUAGGCGACGAUCCCUAGCUGGUCUGAGAGGAGGAACAGCCACACUGGAACUUAGACACGGUCCAGACUCCUACGGGAGGCAGCCGUGGUGAAUAUUGCAACAUGGGCGCAAGCCUGAUGCAGCCAUGCCGCGGGUGUUAAGAAGGCCUUCGGGUUGUAAAGCACUUUCAGCGAGGAGGCGUUACUCGCAGAAUAAGCACCGGCUAACUCCGUGCCAGCCGCCGCGGUAAUAC
rnacentral:rRNA from 1 species